rnacentral:rRNA from 1 species
GACGGAGGGCGCAAGCGUUGUUCGGAAUUACUGGGCGUAAAGGGCAGGUAGGUGGUCUGUUAAGUCUUCUGUGAAAAUCCGGGGCUCAACCCCGUGAAAUGCAGGUGAAACUGGCAGACUUGAGACCGGUAGAGGCUAGCGGAAUUCCUGGUGUAGCGGUGGAAUGCGUAGAUAUCAGGAAGAACACCUGUGGCGAAGGCGGCUAGCUGGGCCGGUUCUGACACUGAACUGCGAAAGCGUGGGGAGCAAACAGG